rnacentral:rRNA from 1 species
AUUGAACGCUAGCGGGAUGCUUUACACAUGCAAGUCGAACGAGUGGCGGACGGGUGAGUAAUAUAUCGGAACGUGCCCAGUAGAGGGGGAUAACUACUCGAAAGAGUGGCUAAUACCGCAUACUUUUGAUGAGGCCGAAUGGGAUUAGCUUGUUGGUGGGGUAAAGGCUCACCAAGGCGACGAUCCCUAGCUGGUUUGAGAGGAGGACCAGCCACACUGGAACUGAGACACGGCCCAGACUCCUACGGGAGGCAGCAGUGGGGAAUUUUGGACAAUGGGGGAAACCCUGAUCCAGCCAUCCCGCGUGUAUGAGAAGGCCUUCGGGUUGUAAAGUACUUUUGGCAGAGAAGCGGUAUCUGCAGAAUAAGCACCGGCUAACUACGUGCCAGCAGCCGCGGUAAUUC